rnacentral:tRNA from 1 species
GGGCCUGUAGCUCAAUCGGUUAGAGCUGCGGACUCAUAAUCCGUAGGUUUCGGGUUCAAGUCCCGACGGGCCCACCA